rnacentral:rRNA from 1 species
GCACGGAGUUAGCCGGGGCUUCCUCCAGGGGUACCGUCAAGACGCCCUGCUAUUAACAGAGCACCAUUUCGUCCCCCUCGACAGGAGUUUACGACCCGAAGGCCUUCAUCCUCCACGCGGCGUCGCUGCGUCAGGCUUUCGCCCAUUGCGCAAUAUUCCUCACUGCUGCCUCCCGUAGGAGUCUGGACCGUGUCUCAGUUCCAGUGUGGCCGGUCACCCUCUCAGGCCGGCUACCCAUCGUAGCCUUGGUAGGCCGUUACCCUACCAACUAGCUAAUGGGACGCGGGCUCCUCCUCAAGCGGCAACUUGCAAGCAGAGGUCACCUUUGAGCUUCCUCUCCGAGGAGAGAAAGAUGUUAUGCGGUAUUAGCCCCGCUUUCGCGAGGUUAUUCCCCACUCGAGGGCAGAUUACCCACGCGUUACUCACCCGUGCGCCACUCUACUAGGAGGGUUGCCCCCCCUUUCGCGUUCGACUUGCAUGUGUUAGGCACGCCGCCAGCGUUCGCU